rnacentral:rRNA from 1 species
UUCCGGUUGAUCCCGCCGGAGGUUACUGCUAUCGAGGUUCGACUAAGCCAUGCGAGUCGAAUGCCGCAAGGCAUGGCGUACUGCUCAGUAACACGUGGACAACCUACCCUUAGGACUGGGAUAACCCCGGGAAACUGGGAAUAAUCCCCGAUAGUCCUCGAAGGCUGGAAUGCAUCGAGGGCGAAAGCUCCGGCGCCUAAGGAUGGGUCUGCGGCCUAUCAGGUAGUAGUGGGUGUAGCGUACCUACUAGCCUACGACGGGUACGGGUUGUGAGAGCAAGAGCCCGGAGAUGGAUUCUGAGACACGAAUCCAGGCCCUACGGGGUGCAGCAGGCGCGAAAACUUUACAAUGCUGGCAACAGCGAUAAGGGAACCUCGAGUGCCAGGUUACAAAUCUGGCUGUCGAGAUGCCUAAAAAGCAUUUCAUAGCAAGGGCCGGGCAAGACCGGUGCCAGCCGCCGCGGUAACACCGGCGGCUCGAGUGGUAACCGUUAUUAUUGGGUCUAAAGGGUCUGUACCCGGCCGGAUAAGUCUCUUGGGAAAUCUGGCAGCUCAACUGUCAGGCUAUCAGGAGAUACUGUCUGGCUC